UACGGGGGGAGCGAGCGUUGCCCGGAUUUAUUGGGCGUAAAGGGCGCGUAGGCGGCUCGGCACGUCCGUUGUGAAAUCGCCCGGCUCAACUGGGCGGGGUCAGCGGAUACGGUCGAGCUUGAGCAAGCUAGGGGGUAAUGGAAUUCCCGGUGUAGUGGUGGAAUGCGUAGAUAUCGGGAGGAACACCAGUGGCGAAGGCGGUUACCUGGGGCUUUGCUGACGCUGAUGCGCGAAAGCGUGGGGAGCGAUCCGG
rnacentral:rRNA from 1 species